UACGUAGGUGGCAAGCGUUGUCCGGAUUUACUGGGCGUAAAGGGCGCGUAGGCGGGAUGGCAAGUCGGUCGUGAAAUCCUUCGGCUCAACCGAAGAACGUCGGCCGAUACUGCCGUUCUUGAGGGAUGCAGAGGAGAUUGGAAUUCCCGGUGUAGCGGUGAAAUGUGUAGAGAUCGGGAGGAACACCGGUGGCGAAGGCGGGUCUCUGGGCAUCUCCUGACGCUGAGGCGCGAAAGCGUGGGGAGCAAACGGG
rnacentral:rRNA from 1 species